GGUUUGCUGCGCGGUGCGUCAGGAAGCACAUGUCCCUGGGGCCAAUAUCUUCCUCUUGGGGGCUGUCCCUGUCGGAACCCUGGUUUCGUUACAUGGCUCCCACCUGCACAAGCAGGCCGCGGAGGACUCGCACGCCAACGGCCGAUGUGGCGCCGCU
rfam:Magnetospirillum marisnigri strain SP-1 NODE_6_length_216483_cov_111.974_ID_3120, whole genome shotgun sequence.